CCUGUGUUGGAAUGUGUAUUAUCCUUGUACUGUGCUCUGACUCCAUAGAUCAAACAGCUACAAGGGCCACAGAGGAGUAGAAGUGCAAUAGCCUUGCCUCUAGACUGUAAAGUAAUGUUAGAGGAGUGUAAGAUGGCAUCAGAGUGAUUAGUUGUCAUCUAACUCCCUUCAAGGAAACAAAGAAUUUGAAGACUGGUUACUAACUACAUAGGUGUGGUGGGUUGACCUUGGUUGGCUGCCAAACAGCCACUCAGGCACUACAUUCCUCGUAAGGUCACAAACCAUCAUGGUUUAACCCCAACCAGCAAUUAAGACCCAGGAAGCCAUUCAACCACUACCCCUGCCUCCAGUUGAAUGGGAGAGAGAAUCAGAAAACUAAA